rnacentral:rRNA from 1 species
CGGGCUGUCCAGGUGUGUAAAAAGCAUCUGAAGAAAGGGCCGGGCAAGACCGGUGCCAGCCGCCGCGGUAAUACCGGCGGCUCGAGUGGUGGCCACUUUUAUUGGGCUUAAAGCGUUCGUAGCUUGGUUGUUAAGUCUCUUGGGAAAUCUCACGGCUCAACCGUGAGGCGUCUAAGGGAUACUGGUAACCUAGGGACCGGAAGAGGUGAGAGGUACUCCAGGGGUAGGAGUGAAAUCCUGUAAUCCUUGGGGGACCACCUGUGGCGAAGGCGUCUCACCAGGACGGCUCCGACAGUGAGGGACGAAAGCUGGGGGAGCAAACCGGAUUAGAUACCCGGGUAGUCCCAGCCGUAAACGAUGCGCGUUAGGUGUAUCGGUGACCACGAGUCACCGAGGUGCCGAAGGGAAACCGUGAAACGCGCCGCCUGGGAAGUACGGUCGCAAGGCUGAAACUUAAAGGAAUUGGCGGGGGAGCACCACAACAGGUGGAGCCUGCGGUUUAAUUGGACUCAACGCCGGGAAGCUCACCGGAUAAGACAGCGGAAUGAUUGCCGGGCUGAAGACUCUGCAUGACUAGCUGAGAGGAGGUGCAUGGCCGUCGUCAGUUCGUACUGUGAAGCAUAAUCGAAUUCCCGCGGCC